GAUGAACGCUGGCGGCGUGCCUAAUACAUGCAAGUCGAACGCGCAGCGAGAGGUGCUUGCACCUUUCAAGCGAGUGGCGAACGGGUGAGCAACACGUGGAUAACCUGCCUCAAGGCUGGGGAUAACAUUUGGAAACAGAUGCUAAUACCGAAUAAAACUUAGUAUCGCAUGAUAUAAAGUUAAAAGGCGCUACGGCGUCACCUAGAGAUGGAUCCGCGGUGCAUUAGUUAGUUGGUGGGGUAAAGGCUUACCAAGACAAUGAUGCAUAGCCGAGUUGGAGGACUGAUCGGCCACAUUGGGACUGAGACACGGCCCAAACUCCUACGGGAGGCUGCAGUAGGGAAUCUUCCACAAUGGGCGCAAGCCUGAUGGAGCAACGCCGCGUGUGUGAUGAAGGCUUUCGGGUCGUAAAGCACUGUUGUAUGGGAAGAAAUGCUAAAAUAGGGAAUGAUUUUAGUUUGACGGUACCAUACCAGAAAGGGACGGCUAAAUACGUGCCAGCAGCCGCGGUAA
rnacentral:rRNA from 1 species